CGUAUUAAAUUCCGAGCACAAAUAUAUAUAUAUAUUUUAAUUGGGGUAGCACCCAAAAUAUUGGGACUUAUAAAAAAAGACAACUCUGUUCAGCAGAGUAGAUGUUGACAUUAUAGUUGCGCAGGCACUUUGUUGACUCUAGAGAACCUCGGGCCAAUCGCACAUCACCGUGGCUGCGACUUUGCAUGAGGAUGUCAUCCAUAUCAACUUUCUAUUCUGCACCUACCAUGGUGACCACAGGUAACGGGGAAUCAGGGUUCCAUUCCGUACAGGGACCCUGAGAAACGGCUACCACAUGCAAGGAAGGCAGCAGGCGCACAAAUGACCCACUCCCAACGCGGGAAGGUAGUGACG